rnacentral:rRNA from 1 species
GACGAACGCUGGCGGCGUGCUUAACACAUGCAAGUCGAACGGAAAGGCCCUGCUAUUGUGGUGUUCUCGAGUGGCGAACGGGUGAGUAACACGUGAGUAACCUGCCCUUGACUUUGGGAUAACUUCAGGAAACUGGGGCUAAUACCAGAUAGGAGCUCCCGCUGCAUGGUGGGGGUUGGAAAGUUUCGGCGGGCGGGGAUGGACGGGCGGCUUAUCAGCUUGUUGGUGGGGUAGUGGCUUACCAAGGCUUUGACGGGUAGCCGGCCUGAGAGGGUGACCGGCCACAUUGGGACUGAGAUACGGACCAGACUGCUAUGGGAGGCAGCAGUGGGGAAUCUUGCACAAUGGGCGGAAGCCUGAUGAGGAGACGUCGCGUGCGGGAUGACGGCCUUUGGGUUGUAAACAGCAGUCGGCUGUGACGAAGCGUGAGUGACGGUAAUGGGUAAAGAAGCACCGGCUAACUACGUG